CUUGACCGAGCCGAGCCACAGCGGCUCGGCGCGGUCCUGCCCGUAGGUGUUCAGCAGCGCCUGCGCCUC
rnacentral:antisense_RNA from 1 species